GAUGAACGCUGGCGGCGUGCCUAAUACGUGCAAGUCGAGCGAACGGACGAGAAGCUUGCUUCUCUGAUGUUAGCGGCGGACGGGUGAGUAACACGUGGAUAACCUACCUAUAAGACUGGGAUAACUUCGGGAAACCGAAGCUAAUACCGGAUGAUAUUUUGAACCGCAUGGUUCAAAAGUGAAAGACGGUCUUGCUGUCACUUAUAGAUGGAUCCGCGCUGCAUUAGCUAGUUGGUAAGGUAACGGCUUACCAAGGCAACGAUGCAUAGCCGACCUGAGAGGGUGAUCGGCCACACUGGAACUGAGACACGGUCCAGACUCCUACGGGAGGCAGCAGUAGGGAAUCUUCCGCAAUGGGCGAAAGCCUGACGGAGCAACGCCGCGUGAGUGAUGAAGGUCUUCGGAUCGUAAAACUCUGUUAUUAGGGAAGAACAUAUGUGUAAGUAACUGUGCACAUCUUGACGGUACCUAAUCAGAAAGCCACGGCUAACUACGUG
rnacentral:rRNA from 1 species